CACUCUUACAGGUACGUUACAACCCAAUUAUAGCUUGUUUUAAUUACAUGUAUAUAUUAUUUUUAUUAAUAUUUAAACCAAGGAGGCGAGGCUAGUGUAUAUUAUAUAUUUAAAUACGAGUAAUAACUUUAAGAUAUAAAAUAGUUAGAGCUCGUAUCUCGAUUGAAGUGGAGUUGUGCGUGAUUUAAUUAAAAAUGAAAUUUCUACUACUCUGCCUGCUUGCCGCGUAUUGCUACGCCGAUGACUCUAGUGAAGCAUUACUAUCAAAAAUUGAAGAACAUCAAAUGAAACUUCGCGUUUGGGAAGAAGAUAACUCCCAGUUAUUGUCUACUCUCAUCGAAGAACAAAAGAAAUACGACAAUGCCAAGAAAAAUGAAGUUGUAUUGUUACAAAUUGUCGACUAUUUGGUUAAAACUAACAUGGAAAUGUUAGAAAAUGUUUUAAAUGGACUAAAGAAAAUACAAAUGAACCUAAGUGACGAACAAAUGGGAGAAGAAGGCCUUGUAAAUAAAAACGGCGAAAUUGAAGAAGUUGCUUCGUCUAAUAAUUAUAAAACAGACUCCGAUGUCGAAACAGAUCGGUGGGUUAAAAGUUUUAUGAAAAGUAAUAGAAACCGAACCUGAUGGACAAAAAUAAUUGUUAUAGUUU